rnacentral:lncRNA from 1 species
GUUUUUUUCAAACUUCUCAAAUUUCAAAUUUUUGAAAAUAUUGAAGAAGAAAUCUUUAAUUUCACAAUAUUGUGCAAUAGAUUUGUAAGAUCUUGCCAUUUGUUUUGUGUAAGAAACCCAUAUAAUGUGAAAUAUUUGAUCACAAUCCAAAUUCAGAGCUGUAUCAAGCUUGAAUGUUUUGUCCAUACAUUUUCCCAUUGCCCCAAUGCAACUGUUCAGGGUUUGACCUCUGCGGUCGUAUAAAGCUGCGCCCUGCUGAGCACCUGGUUUUCUUUGUGUUUGAAGACGAUGAAUGAUUUGAUAUUUGGUCUAUUGUUUUAUGAUUAGUAGCAGAUCAAGUUCAAAUUUUGUACUGGUCGGAUGAUUUUGUGUAGAGUUAUGGUCCUUGUACUUAAAUUCCCUCAAAUAAUCUGCUUUCCUCACUUUUUUUCAGCUUGGAAGAUAUUGAUUUGAUAAUUGGUAUAUAAUGUUAUUAUGGCAAGUUGCAGAUCAAGUUCGAAUUUUUUUCUGUGCUGAUGAUUUUGUGCAGAGUUAUGGGCCUGGACUUCAAAAUUCACUUGCAUGUUAAGAAUCUAUUCUAAACUUUUUUUUCGUCAUAAUUGGAAGUGAUUGACUUGCUUUAUGUAAUAUAGAUACCCAAUGACAAGUUAUAGAUCAAACAUUUUUAACCGGUAGGGGACUAUACAUGUAUUGCCAGACAAUACUCACAGAUUGCUUGUUUAUAAAAAUAAGGAGGUGUGGUAUGAUUGCCAAUGAGACAACUAUCCACCAAAGUUCAAAUGAAAUUGAUGUUAGCAAUUAUAGGCAACGGUUACGGUCUUCGACAACGAGAAAAUCUCAUUCCUAUAGUCGUCUCUAAAAGGUCCUGACAUGAAAAGUAUGAAAUGGAAACAGUAAAUCUAUAUAAAAAACCUGUACAUAAUUUGUUUUUGUUUUCGUAGAAAGCUCGACACAGGGAUAGUGAUCCGGCGGCGGUGUUAGCUAAUUUCUUAAAAGUUAUAUAUUUAAGAAGUUUGAAGACCUGGAUGCUUCGUACUUUAUAUAUCG